rnacentral:rRNA from 1 species
ACGGGGGGUGCAAGCGUUAAUCGGAAUUAUUGGGCGUACAGCGCACGCAGGCGGUUUGUUAAGUCAGAUGUGAAAUACCCGGGCUUAACCUGGGAAAUGCAUUUGAUACUGGCGAGCUUGAGUCUCGAAGAGGGGAGUGGAAUUCCAGGUGUAGCGGUGAAAUGCGUAGAUAUCGGGAGGAAUACCGAUGGCGAAGGCGGCCCCUUGGACCAAUACUGACUCUGAGGUGCGAAAGCGUGGGGAGCAAACAG